UACGGGGGGGGCAAGCGUUGUUCGGAAUUACUGGGCGUAAAGGGCUCGUAGGUGGCCAACUAAGUCAGACGUGAAAUCCCUCGGCUUAACCGGGGAACUGCGUCUGAUACUGGAUGGCUAGAGUUUGGGAGAGGGAUGCGGAAUUCCAGGUGUAGCGGUGAAAUGCGUAGAUAUCUGGAGGAACACCUGUGGUGUAGACAGCUUACUGGACCACUUCUGACGCUGAGACACGAAAGCGUGGGUAGCAAACAGG
rnacentral:rRNA from 1 species